UUUAUAAAGGGAAGCAACGAAGCCUGAGGCUGUAUUUGGGCACUUGGUCCAGGCUGAGCAAGUAGUGCAACCGACCGCAAAAUAU
rnacentral:ncRNA from 1 species